rnacentral:rRNA from 1 species
UACGUAGGGUGCGAGCGUUGUCCGGAAUUAUUGGGCGUAAAGAGCUCGUAGGCGGUUUGUCACGUCUGCUGUGAAAUCCCGAGGCUCAACCUCGGGCUUGCAGUGGGUACGGGCAGACUAGAGUGCGGUAGGGGAGGUUGGAAUUCCUGGUGUAGCGGUGGAAUGCGCAGAUAUCAGGAGGAACACCGGUGGCGAAGGCGGGUCUCUGGGCCGAUACUGACGCUGAGGAGCGAAAGCGUGGGGAGCGAACAGG